GAGGAAAGUCCGGGCUCCGCAGGGCAGAGUGCCAGGUAACGCCUGGGGGGUGAAAGCCCACGGAAAGUGCAACAGAAAGUAUACCGCCCAAAAAUGGGGUCCGACCCUGUUUGAGCGCCUUCGGGCUGGGUAAGGUUGAAAUGGUGCGGUAAGAGCGCACCGCGCGGCUGGUAACAGGCGUGGCGAUGGAAAACCCCACUCGGAGCAAGACCAAAUAGGAAUCCGUCAGCUGUGGCCCGCAGUGGAUUCGGGUAGGUCGCUACAGGCAGGUGGUGACACCUGUCGCAGAUGAAUGAUCGUCCACGACAGAACGCGGCUUA
rnacentral:RNase_P_RNA from 1 species